UAUUACUUAUAAUCAAUCUGUUUUUACAGUACACUUCUACAAUUUUAAACAAUGUCAUUUAGUAGGUCAGGUUUUUGAAGUGGAUAAAUUAUUACUCGGAGUUUUAUUAUUACGUACCACGAUAUAGCCGCGAUUUCAAUUCAGUCCAAACCUUGCCGGAUCACUAGAACAAAGAUCAGAAGAGGUCGAACUACAGACUUCUAUCAAAUCUAGUAUAAUUUACAAGAAUUGAGUUUAAUUAAUUCUCCAGUAAGUGUUUGUUUUCCAGUUCAAUUAUUCCACUUGGAAUAAUGACUUUGUUCUUUAAUUAAAAUAGAUUAUUACCUGAACGUUAAACUUACUGUUAUACUGAAUAACUUAAAAAUAAAUAAUUGUGUUUGCUUAUCGUGUCUUCACACUUUACGUUUUAUGUCAUGGUAAAAGUUAAAAAUAAACACUUCGUGGCGUUUUGAAC